rnacentral:misc_RNA from 1 species
GUUUCCCUUGUUGAUGUCCUUCCAUUAUCAAGUGCAGUGGAAACUCCUGUUCAAGGAUUGAAAGAGAAUUGCAUUACUAGAGCUGAGGAAAUUUGGCAAAAAGCUAUGACAGAUUGUGAGGAGAUCUGUGAGACAAGAACAGCUGUGACAGAUUGUGAGGAGAUCUGCAAGGCAAGAACUAGAUCAGCUAUAAUGACCGAAACAGCUGCAGAAACAAACUCUGUUUCAGGUGACAGUGGUCUGCAAGGGUCCAAUUUAUUGGAUCUUGGUGAUGCUUAUAAGCUAGCUGUUGG